rnacentral:lncRNA from 1 species
GCUCUUGGUUAGCUAGCUCUGUAUCCAGAUAGACGUUGACCUUUUUCUGUCGUGGUAGAUCAGAUGCAAUCAGGGAUGAAUUGAUGGACAUUUGGACAAAAGUAGCAUGGAGAUGGAUACUAGUUCUUGGACGGAAGAAUCAGAUUCUCUUCCCUUUUGCAGUGGAGGCUAUGGCCUACUUCUUACCUGUCCAACUCCGAUCCAAUCCAAUCCAGGCGAGAACGUUGCUAAACACCGGCUGCUGCGUCCUGGAUUAGAGAGCAAAGAGAAGGGUAAAUGUAUAAGAAAAAAAGGGGGCUGAUGAGAAUCAAAGCUUCCAUCUGAACUGAACUGAAGGGUGAGAGGUUGAGGAAAGAAGAAGAAGAAGCUCAAUUUCGGCCCAUUAACAUCGGCCCAAAUUGUUAGAAGAUGUGGGCUGCAAGCAUAUAUUGAUACAUGCAUUAUAAUUAUACUCAGAAUUCAACAGAACACACUUAACAAUAUUUUCUUGAAAGACUUAACAGUAAUUCUACAAUCUAGAUACGGUGAUUAAAUGUUUGAAACAUAACUCAGGAUGACAGAGAACAACACGCUAAUAGAUUAUAGUCCCUACACUUAACAAUAUUUUCGUGAAAAGAAGCAUAUAUGUGUCCUUUGUGUUACAAAAUUCUGAAUACGUUUUCCAACUAGAAAAAAUGAUUAAAAAUCACAGAAAUGCAGUGCAGUACCUAGUAUAGCAUCCUACACUAUAGCCUUGCUCCCUCAUGAUAUUGGACAGGAAUGCAGCAGUUGAACAUUUCCCCUUGGUCCCAGCAAUAUGAAUAGCCUACAAUCACAUUCAUUCAGUUUUGUCCAAAUAUUAAUCACAUUUUCUCCAUUCAAAGUAAAAUCAUGACUCAUAUGCAAGAUGGCAGCUGCCUAAUACUUGAAAGAAACAAAUGUCAAUGUGCCAUGCACCAGAAAAAUCAUAUAUGUUUCCUUCCUUAUGAUUUUAAUAGGCAGUUUCAAGGCAAGUUGUGAGCCUCUGGUGUUAAGGAGAGGGUGAGGUCUCAGUCACUGGGAGUGUGGAGUUCACAAAGGCGGCCGAGGUGAUGCAUGCGGCCAAGGUCGAAGCCAUUGUCAGAGUUGGUCCCGGUGCUGUGUGGCACUCCAGAGCAAUCCAUGUACUCAGAGAAAUCCCUGAGAUGGACAUCCUCGAAGUUCUAUUGAUAAAGCAGGAAGACCAGCGGAGUGAGAUAGCGAAGCGGAGGAGCAUACAAUGAGGUCGUACUGCCGUCGCACUGGCAACGGCAGAAUUUGACGGAGGGAGUGGAGAUACCACCAUGUCGCUGGAGAGUAGUGGCAGAGCUUGGAAUUUUUCGUUGGGUGUGCCUACUUCACACACCAAACUUUUAUAACAACACAAACCACAUAUAUAUACAUGUACAGAUUUCCCCUUUUGUUAAAUGUGUAAUGCAAAUAUGCGACAAUAUCUCACAGCAUUGCUAAUCGACUAAAAUCACGAGAAAAAAAGUACAAUACAGAUAGUUCCAAUGUAAACGAUCUUACAUAAAUAGAAGAUUACAGUGCUGCUACUUUGCGUGUUCUCUUAGCCUUGAAAGUUUGUAGUACUGUCUUCCUCACUACUAUGGAGAAAUAAAAAUCUAGCUUAACAAAUGAGACUAAACAAUCAUUCAAUAAUUUUCCACACAUGCUGUUUCACAAAUUGUUAUUCACAAAUCACAGGAUAGAUUCUCUAUUUGGAUUAACUACAUCACUGAUCGCGACAAUUUCAAUCACAAAGUUAAAACCAUACUGAGGAAAAAAAAACAGUACAAAAUGAGCUAAAGAAUUACCUGUCGUCGGCGAAUGGCUAAAUGCCUAAAAUCAGUCCCGGUCAGUCACUCAGCCGGUGGUAGCGGCGGGCGGUGGCCGGCCGGCGGGGGGCCUCCGGCCCGAGAGGAUGA